rnacentral:rRNA from 1 species
AUGACCUGUUUGACAGAGUGCCCGAACCAAGUCACUGUCACAUCGUCGCUCGCGUCGCCAGUCAUGACGGCACCACUACUUCCAGCAACCACACCUGUGCUCGCCAUCGACCUCAUUCACUCUGCUACAAAUGGUGAUUCUAACCUGUGGGCGCCCCUGGCCAUGGAGGACGAACUCCUCACCAUGCCAUCUCCUCGGAUAUUCUCAGCCAUCAAUUCAUUGCAGCUGCUCAUGGACAGCGGUAUGGACGUAUCAAAGCCCACGACAUGUUCACGCUUUUGCCUGCCCGACACAACUAUGCCCCAAAUGAUGGCAAUGGUGUUUCCACAAAUCUGGCAGAAGCAGAUGAGGUUACGUCUGACGCCGUGGCCAUCGUUUUGGAUGGAUCUUACUGACGGAAAUGAGCUUAUGACACCAUGUAUUCUUCAGAAGUCCUCCUAUGAAUUUCAUGCUCAAGACGUACAGCCGAGAUUCAGAUUCAGUCAAGACAAUGUUCACCUGAAGCUGUCAAGGCCAUCUGCAGCUAUUUGUGUAUUCUGUACAGUUCUCUUUGGCAAUCAAUCAAUGAUGCUACAUGACGGGUUAAGACAAGGCAUGCAACAUCAAGCUGACCAGUUAGAGGAGACAUAUUAUGCAAAUCACGUUCUGGAGCAUGCUUCUACUCCUGACAAACUGCAGAAGGCAAUGCAUAAUCUGAACAUUUUUUUUCCAACCGGGCUCACACCCCUUUCCAUUAAUUUUGCAAUCAACGGAAAUACAUCAGUCUGUUUCACAGGUCUGUUUAGAACCGUACCACAAAGGCUAAAGACUACCAUAAUGGAAAUGAUUGCAACAGCUAAAAGGGGACUGGAAAGGGUGGAGCGAGCUGGUGCAUCAUCAGGAAACCCACCGCAAGAAGAUCCUAGAAUGGAUCAUCUGCCAUGGGGCAAAAACCUGAUGACACAAAACAAGCCACUGCCCAACUAUGAAAACAGGUUCUCAGGAUAG